GCGACGGUGGCGGGGCCGACCCCACUGGGCGCGCCGAACAGCGACGAGAAGGACUAGCUAGCACCCGGCGCGGAUCUCACGCCGCUUCUCCCCAGAGCCAGGUUCCACCUCCCGCGCAGACGCACAGGAGACGCUUCCCGGAGGGCAGUGCACGCCGCGGAGCACCCUGGGACUCGUAGGCGGCCUUCGACCUGGCGCGGCGAGGGCCGGCGUGUGCAUCUUAGCUUUAGGACUCCUUCCGCUUGGAAGAUUUAGGUUUUCGCGUCCUGUAAGGUCAGAAGAACAGCUGAGUAACUACCUCCCUCACAGGCAUGCUGGUAAAGCCGAUGGAGGGAAAUGUGGUCAUGCAGGGGUGGUGACUGGCAGAUGGCAAUCACAAGGUUCCUCAAUCUCUGAGCCUCAGUUUCUUCCAGUGUGAAACAGGGAUGAUAGGAUCAUUAAGGGAUCUGCACUAUACUGUGUAAAACUGUUCAUUUAACCAGCACUGCAGGAAUAACUGGGAAUAAGGGCAGAACUGGAACCCGUAUCUAUCCCCUGUUCAGAGCCCAGUGACCUUCAUUUUUUCCAGAGGCCUUAACCAGACAAACAACACAGGUGCUGGAACUAUUCUGAUACUCAGAUGGUUGUCAUCAAGAAAGAAGAGAUGUCAUCUGAUGAUUCUCACUUGUAACACACGUGCACACAGACACACACACCCCCAACCUCUAUCUCAGAUUUUAUUUUUUUUAAAAAAGGCUUCAAUACAAGGCCCCAGAAUAGUGCAUGCAAAUCAACGACCCUCAAAGUGACAGUCAUUGUCAGAUAACAAGCACAAUCUGCUACAGUCUGUGACCUGGUAAAGAGACCACCUUUUCAUUUUGAGUCCCAUCACCAACUAUGACAAUGUCCAACCUACUGCACAGCUCACAAUUACUCAGAGAUACAGUUUAGUAUCUGAACAGCAAAGACAUAUUGAGCUGCAA